rnacentral:rRNA from 1 species
AGAGUUUGAUCCUGGCUCAGGAUGAACGCUAGCGGCAGGCUUAAUACAUGCAAGUCGAACGGGACUCUUCGGAGUUCAGUGGCGGACGGGUGAGUAACGCGUGAGAAUCUGCCUUCAGGUCGGGGACAACCACUGGAAACGGUGGCUAAUACCGGAUAUGCCGCAACGUGAAAGAUUUAUCGCCUGAAGAGGAGCUCGCGUCUGAUUAGCUAGUUGGUGGGGUAAAAGCUCACCAAGGCGACGAUCAGUAGCUGGUCUGAGAGGAUGAUCAGCCACACUGGGACUGAGACACGGCCCAGACUCCUACGGGAGGCAGCAGUAGGGAAUUUUCCACAAUGGGCGAAAGCCUGAUGGAGCAACGCCGCGUGCAGGAUGAAUGCCUUCGGGUUGUAAACUGCUUUUAUAUGUGACGAUUAUGACGGUAGCAUAUGAAUAAGGAUCGGCUAAUUCCGUGCCAGCCGCCGCGGUAAUAC